GGCCAUGGCAUAUAACCUACGCAAGAUGAGCUUCAGAUUGAGUAGCAAUUCACUAUAUUUGCUUAAUUCUUGUCUGCAAAAAUUUUGCUCACAAAUUCAUAAGGCUGUACAAAAGAUUCAAAAACCACAUGAUCCUUUAUGACAAGCUAUCCAAAAGAAAAUCUUCACAGAUGUCAAUGUGGGCGUAUGACAGAAAAUUAUAAUGUCAUUCAUAGUAGUGCUAGUUACAAGUAGGAUUCUUGACAUGUAGAGAGCUAUUUGACUAAUUGACUAUAUCAUUUACAAGGAAAUCCUAAUUACAGCUAAAACCAAAAUUAGUGCUUUAUAUCCCCACAAUCGUCAUCUCAUCUUACGCUUCCCUCUCCGAAUGAGGGCUGUGCUUGCUCGAGUAUUAUCACUCUCAGGCGAUGAGUCUUCCACAACUGUUUCUUCUUGUAACACCAAGCCACGGUUCCUGGACAACUUCCUAAUGGGAGUAGUCGGUCCUGCUUCUUGAGAUUCUUCAAACGUUAGAUUUUGUUGGCUAUCAUAUGCUAGGUUUAUUUGAUUCCUAUUUGGCAUUAACUCCUCCCCAACACCAACCAAUGAAGUCAUUAACUUCCAAUCCUUGAAGUCGAGUUUGAAGACAAAGUGCCUGUAUACAACCUCCCCUGAUAUAACUGCACAGGCAGCAGCCGCAUUCCUUGGAGAAACUAGAUGCCAGCCAUUCUCAUUCACUUUUAUUUCAGCUCGCCCAUCUUUAACUAGAAAUGACAAAGUAAACAAAUUCUCCACGGUCUGUGCAAAUGAGUUUCUAUUCAACACUAAAUUUUCGAGCUUGACACUUUUUUUCUUCCUUAAAAUAUUAAACAUUGUUGCCAUAUUGUUGUCUGUAUCCAUUCUUUCUUUUGCCAAAUGGUCAUCAACAACCUCUUCAGGCUGAAUACUCUCAGUUGGUUUCACACGUUUUCUAACAGCAGCCUUCCGUACCUUUAAUUCAGUAUCUGCAGCCCCAAUCAUUGUAUAGCACCCAGGACAGCUCCUAAAUAUAUGAGAUACUGCAACUCCAAUAUUGUUCCAGCCUAGUAAGACCCUGCCAGCUUCUGCGCUGCUGCUAGGCCCACCUUGUUGCCCAAAUUCUCUAAGGAGACAAGUUAUAUAAUCCGAGGCAGUUAUUCCAUCAUUGCCCUGUGCCUUGACAUAGGUGACCAACGACUUUGUGAUGUCUAAAAGGGCCUCUGCAUCAGCAACUUGUUCUCUUGGUUUCUGUACUGAAAUUCAUAAUGGGGGGUGGGAGUGUUAAACAACAGUUAAUGAAAUCACAAGCAACUACUAACAUCCUAAAAAAUGAUAAUGCAAUGAAAACGGAAUCAAACAAAUGUCAUUAGCAAAUAAUAUAAUCACUUUUCAUUUACUCCACAAACAAACCAAUCAGAGUAACGAAUGGGGUAUAAAAACAAAAACAGAUAAUUACCAGACAUCAAGAUUGCUCCACGACUAGCAAUGAGUGGCAAAAAACUCGAUUCUCUAAUCUUAAAAUGAAGAGAAAAACUAAAUGCAUCCAUCUUAACCAGAUUACAAAUUUAAUCAGCAACACAAAUUAAACAACAACUGCCAAUCACUAAACAGAAAACAAUAAUGAAUACCUAGCUGGUGCAAGCUUUCUACUUCAUGAAAGAUUGAUCGGAACUUAUCAGAAUCAACCUUUCCAAUAUCGUCUCUUUCGUCAAUAAUGAGGUUCUUCACGGCGAGGUACCGUGCUCGAAGAGCAGCGCCACCGGCCGCGACUGCACGGCCAGAUUCACUCGUAUCGGCUUCACCAUCAUCUGCUCGAGUACUACUAACGUUAACACUGGUAGCAGCAGAAGCAUUUCCCGGUUCUGGUUUCACUGGUGGGGGCAUGGAUAUUGGAUUGCGUCCUGAAAUUGGAACAACUUCCAGAACAAGAAACGAAAGAGGAGAAGUUGAAGAGGUCAAAGGUCGUGAUUAAUGGAAUAUUGGAAUUGGAAAACCCUAAAUUCUGAAACUGAGAAAUCGUUAAAGCCCUGCAAUGGAGAGAUUUGAAGAGUCGUUUUCCCUCCUUCCACUCUUCCCAGCCG
rnacentral:misc_RNA from 1 species